GUUCUUUCUAAUGCUAAAAAAAACGAACAAUAGUACAGACAGGGUAGACUAGACUACCCAGGGCCCGCAUGGAGCCUAUGGCAGCCAAUAAUUAAGUACUUCAAAUCCGCCACUGUUCCUAGAUUAAGGUGCUCAAUGCCAUUAUAGGAAUAUUAGGAAUCGAAUUCUACGAAUCUAAGGGUCAAAUUAUAUGAACGACUAAUUUUAAACAUAAAGGUUAUAACCUCCUAAGGCCCAGCCAUACAAAUAAAUAAUCCAAAAUUUGCCACUGCAAUUUGAACCUAUACUGUAAGAAAUUGAGUUGAUUUUGCUUUGUAUAAAAAAUGAACGACGCGAGACAAAUGCAACUCUGUUCCAAUUGGAUAUGAUUUAAAUUUCAUCGAACUGAAUAAGUACUAUAGGUAGGACCUUGGGCCUUACGAGGAUAUUGUGAACAGAUUACGUGCUUAGGUCUGAUAAUGUCACAAUCACAAUCGCAUCUUCGCUAUUGAAACGUAAAGUGCUUAAAAGACAAAGAAAAAGAAGCUCAACUCUCAAGUAAAAGAAAGUUUUUAUAAUGUGAUCAUUUAAAUUCAACGAAUAUAUUUUUUUUUAUAAAGUUAGUUAAGCUAAGAAAUGAUAAAAAUAUAAAUAAAAGACAAACAUUUGUGCUGCAGGCAGCUGCUUAUUGAUAUAAAAAAUGAAUUAGGUACCUAGAAUCUAGGUCUAGAUUGUUUUCCACGCUAGCUGACAAUACCUAACUGAUUGAAUGAACUUUAUAUCUCGAAAUUUUAAACUGUUAUGCGGGUGAAGUAAAAAAUAUACAGUAUGUGUCUGACCAUGCAUGGGGCUUUAAUUCCAGGGCUUGAUUUUACUCGCUAAACUGCGUUACUUUUACCAUGGGACCAACCCUAAAAUCGGGGAAAAAUUUUUGGCUUUCCCAUAGAAAACGUCGACAUCUGAUCAGCCAAAAUGUAUGAAAAAGUAAAAAUUUUUUCGGGCUUUCGGGGUUAGUGCCAUAAUAAAAGUAGCUCAGUUAAGCGAGUAGAAUCGAGCCCUGAAUUUAAAGCCCAAUGGUCAGUAACACCCUGUAUAUCUACCUAACGUGAUAUUAUGUACCAACCUAAGGUUGCAAUCUCAUUCUGUGAUGUGCCUGUUUUAUAAUUAAUUUAGGUACCUACUUAAUAGGAAAAUCAAACGAUUCUUCUACUUCUCUGAAACAUUUUAACAUUUGCUGGGCUACUUCUUUGGCUACUUCCAUUUAGCUAUUAUAAUCUACUUAUAUAUAGUUAUCGUACAAACAACAAAGACUGUAAAAUUUUAUUUGAAUCUAAAAGCCGGAGGUCUUAAAAUUAGAAACGGGCACUUUCGACAUUUUACACCAUUGAAUGACAAUUUGAAAUUAAACCUUAUAUGACUAACCGAAGGUUCAUAUUGCUUUGAUAUGCCUGACUGGUUAAGUAAGACCUCGUUUUAUAGACUAAAAGUGUGUUGUUUUUAGUAAAUAAGCGUUAAAAGUGGUGUUAACUGUUAAUCAUAUAUUUAUCCCAUUCCGUUUCCAAUUUGAGAAAGAGACAAAAUGUAAGAUAUUGCAUGACAUCAGUUUAUACGAAUAUUUUAUCAAUUUAUCAUGCAAGGGCAAUAGCGCCCACUAGGUAUUGUAUCUUAUCUAUACUACGUAUUUCGAUGUGUUGUCUAAAAGAAAAUGGUGCUUACGCUUACUGAGCUAUAGUUCGUUUUUUUAGCAUUAGAAAUUAAGUUAAACAAUCUUGAUGUGUCUUUUAAUUGAAAAACACAUUUUAAAAAUAAGUUUCGGCAAAUAUGUAACAAUUAUGAAUGUAAUACGAUCAUUUAUAUUCUUCUGCUUUCAAAAGUAAUAGUUACUGAUUUUUAUAAAGCGUUUUUCAAUUAAAAGACAUGUCAAGAUCGCUUACCUUCUUGCAAGUUCUUUCUAAUGCUAAAAAAACGAUCUAUAAGAGUUAAGCCGCGAACUGGAUGCAAGCUGUAUGUGUACAGUCGACGUCCAAUAAGAUAUGUUUACAUUUUUCGCCUUAUUACAAAGGAGUAAGGAGCAAGUGUAAACAUAUCUUUAACGUCGACUGUACAUAUAUCAUGCGUAAUGUAGUUACGAAUGGCCUUGUUUGCCGCUCGCCGCUUGCGUCCAGUCCGCGGCCUUAUUGAUUAAUCAAUGAAUCUUUGUUACUUAGCGAAUAUCCUCUAGCCGCCCAUACGUCAAACCUUGCCAAGCAAAGUUAAAUUUUAUUUUGUCAACACAAAGUUUAAAUUGGAAUGUAACAGGAGACCUUUUUAUAGGUCUCUGGGCGGCUAGAGGAUAUGAAAGUUAACCCUGUUCCAGGCCGCACCAAUCUACAAGGUUUCCCAAAAGAUCCAAAUUUCAAUUAAUCCAGCUUUAAAUGGAUCAUAUUUAAAGACAAGUCACAUUCCCGAAAGUGCAAUCUAGUUUGAACCUUAAAUCGAAAUGCUAAAGUUGAAAUUCUGUUGGCGCGUAUGUGGUCGAUAAAUCGUACUAUGCCUGGAAAAGGGUUAAAGGGCUAUUUCACUUUGCGAUACACCGGGUGGUGUACCGGAACCCAUUUCAAGGUCAUUUCCCCUCCUUUGUCCUUACGUAUUUUUUAACAAAUAUUCCGGUUAACCGUACUCAGUGUAUUGCAAACUAUAAUACGCCUAUUAUUAUGUAAGUAGAUAAUUUAAUAAAAUCGCAAUUUGAAGUAUUUUAUUAUUAACUUUGUUUUUAAGUGUUGAUCUGUCAAUCAGUAUUCUACAGAGUUUUUGAUAAGAUGUAUUAAAUUAUAUUAAGCUAAUGUACUCAAA